GCUAAUACCGCAUACGCCCUACGGGGGAAAGCAGGGGACCUUCGGGCCUUGCGCGAUUGGAUAUGCCCAGGUGGGAUUAGCUAGUUGGUGAGGUAAUGGCUCACCAAGGCGACGAUCCCUAGCUGGUCUGAGAGGAUGAUCAGCCACACUGGAACUGAGACACGGUCCAGACUCCUACGUGAGGCAGCAGUGGGGAAUAUUGCACAAUGGGGGAAACCCUGAUGCAGCCAUGCCGCGUGUGUGAAGAAGGCCUUCGGGUUGUAAAGCACUUUCAGCGAGGAGGAAAGGUUGAUGCCUAAUACGUAUCAACUGUGACGUUACUCGCAGAAGAAGCACCGGCUAACUCCGUGCCAGCAGCCGCGGUAAUACGGGAGGGUGCAAGCGUUAAUCGGAAUUACUGGGCGUAAAGCGCACGCAGGCGGUUGGAUAAGUUAGAUGUGAAAGCCCCGGGCUCAACCUGGGAAUUGCAUUUAAAACUGUCCAGCUAGAGUCUUGUAGAGGGGGGUAGAAUUCCAGGUGUAGCGGUGAAAUG
rnacentral:rRNA from 1 species